AAAGUCUAAUCUGCCCACUGAUGUAAUAUUAAAGGGCUGCAGUAUUUUGACUGUACAAAGGUAGCAUAAUCAUUAGUCUUUUAAUUGAUGACUGGUAUGAAAGAUUGGACGAAAUAUAUUCUGUCUCUAAUUAAUUGAUAAAAUUUAAUUUUUUAGUAAAAAAGCUAAAAUGAUUUUAAAAGACGAGAAGACCCUAUAGAGUUUAAUAAUUUAUUUAAUUAUUAUUAAUAUUUAAAUUUUAAAAUUAAAAUUAAUUAAAUUAUUUUGUUGGGGUGAUAGAAAAAUUAAAUUAACUUUUUUUAUAAUUAGUUUAACAUUAAUUUAUGAUUAUAUGAUCCAUUUUUAGUGAUUAAAAGAAAAAAUUACCUUAGGGAUAACAGCGUAAUUUUUCUUUUUAGUUCAAAUAGGAAGAAAAGUUUGCGACCUCGAUGUUGGAUUAAGAUAAAAUUUAAAUGCAAAAGUUUAAAAUUUUGAUCUGUUCGA
rnacentral:rRNA from 1 species